GGCUGAGGGCAGAUAUAGAGGAGCUCAGUCCUGCAGGCUGAUUGCCGCUAACUCUGUAUAUUCCAUCGACAUCCAGACCUGAAAAAGGAAAACAUAUUUCAUAUUGGCUCAUAAUGCCAAGACAUGUCUGUCAUCCAGGGAACGAAGUCUUUACUCUUCAGUGGAAACAUGCGGCUUUGGGAAGAAA